AUGGCGGAUGGUGGGGGAUCUCAGAGGGAGAAGGGGAAGGAGACGGCGGAGGAACUAUUAGCCCGCCUCACUUUGCAGGAGGAAGAAGAUGAGGAUUUUGUGUGGGAAGAGGAGCUCCCAGAUAUGAUGGAGUCGGCGAGGUGGCUGGCGAUUGUGAGGGUUCAUAUAGCAAAAACUUUUAGCCCUAACGCACUGUAUGGAGAUAUGAGGGCAGCCUGGAAUCGGGCCAAGACGGUAGUUUGGAGGAAGAUCAAGGAGAACUUGUUUACGGCGCAGCGGUUGUCUUGCAGAUUGGAAGAAAGCGAUGCUGGAUGGUCCAUGGCUGUUCAGGGAUCAGGCAGUGAUCUUGGAGGAGUAUGA
rnacentral:rRNA from 1 species